CGCCGCUCGUGAGUGGCGCGUGCGGGUCCGAGCGCCUCGGGGGAACGCGGACCUGGCCCUCCCGCUAGCAGCAGGCGAUGCUGGGGCUCGCGUGGGACCGCCUGCCGCCGCGCACGUGUUAGCCGCGCGCUGGGAACCCGCUCCCGGGGGCAACACGGCGGGGACUGCGCGGGCUUAGGCCCUGGCUCACCUAACGCCGGGGAGGGACGGAAGCCGAGUCUCCUUUUAGCCAAGACUGGGAAUCUGAAGCACAGAGAAGUUACAAGCCCAAGGCUUGCUGAACAUCAAGGAAUCGGAGUCUUUUCUUCCCAAAACCACAUGCUUCCACAGAGGAAGACACAGGACGAUGCUGAAGCUACAGACACUGGAGGUUCUGACGCAGAUCAUGAGGUGGUGAGAAGUAACAGGAGAGACCAUUCGUCUGCCCCAUCCUAUAUCCCCUCAGACAGAGGCACGAGGAUCUACAGUUUCACUAGCGGAUUGCUGUUACUGACUGGGGGACAGGACAGGGAAGAAGACAUCGUUUUAACAAGGACUUCUAACUAAAACUAAUAAUUCUCUACUAUACAUAGCCACACCAGAAUAAACAAAUGCCACAAUAGCCCUCAGUACAUUUAAAAUGGACAAUAUUGACUUAUUCUGGUUUAAAAUUUGACCUACCUUUAAUAACGUUCAAGCAAUUAGGAAAUAUAGCCUUGAUUUAUACAGAUCUCAGCCUAAGACUGAUUUGUCAUCUUCUGCAGAGCUAGGUCACCCUAGUCAAACAGCUGUUAACAACCUUCAUGAAUUAGGUUCAUAAAGUAUUGAACUUUUAAGUCACAUUAACCACAAAAUACACAUCGCUAGGAAAGGAAUGGAGGAAAUGAGUACACAGCAAACUGACAAUGAAAAAUCAGUAGGGUAAAAAACUCUUCUGAAGUGGUUUUAGACUAUAGUAAAUCUACAACCAAUUAAAAAAAACCCUAAUAUUUUGAGUAUUUCAUACUAAGAAGACAUAAGAUUCCAAACAGACAAUAAUUCCUCUGAAUAAAUGUCAGGUGAUUAUUACUUUAAUUGCCUGAUCUUAAUGAAGAAGGAAGUUACCAUUGUCCAUCACUGAUGAGAUAGGACAUGGAACAGCUAUACAGGUACUUAGCAUCUUGUAUCAGAUGUAGAAUGCAGAGAGUAUAAUAAAUUCCUCAUCCAUUAUUAGGGCUGUUAGGAGGUAAGGUAAUACAGCUGAUGAGGGCCAGAUCAGACCAUCAAAACUUUGGAUAAACCAGAGAAUGGGAAAAUGUGACGAUGCACUGCCAUCUAGUGGUCACAGGAGAGAUUUCCCGCUUCUGGUCCUCCAGUCCAAGCUGUUUGGUAAACGUGGAGAGCUUGUUAAGGGAGGGUCGGAUAAAUGGAAUUCUACUGUUCAAAUAACCACCACCACCACGUUUCAAGAUACAGAAUCAUGUAUAAGCUUCAAAUGCCUACAAGGUAACCAUCAUUAUUGCUGUGCACAAAAGCAAUUAAAACAAGUGCUUUUGUAUGAAGUUAUUAAUUUACUCAAGCAUCAAAUCUAAAGAAAUGAAAUAGACUUUUCAGCAAGACACAUUACAUGAAACACACUGUAUGCUCUUCAGCAAAGAUUAUAGCAUCCUAUUUAUUGCUAAGGACUUCCUAAAAGAUUAAUCUGUUCAUGUAACCAACAUGUGAUCUACACAGUAUAAAUUACAGAGGUCACAUCGUUACUUUUUUGGAUGAAAAGUACAGCAGUAGACACUGUAUUAACACAGAAUUAAGUUAAGAAUAGCUAGAAGACAAAACACUGCUGACUAUAUAGAAAAGCGUAGUGCCUCUUAUGUGUAAGGCUGCUUCUACUCAAUGCUGAGAACACAGACACAUUCUGCAAUGUCUUCAAGAAUGGAUGUUCACUAACCUUAACA